UACGGAGGGGGCUAGCGUUGUUCGGAAUUACUGGGCGUAAAGCGCUCGCAGGCGGCUUGAUACGUCGGGGGUGAAAUCCCGGGGCUCAACCUCGGAAUUGCCUUCGAUACUGUCUAUCUAGAGUCCGGGAGAGGUGAGUGGAAUUCCUAGUGUAGAGGUGAAAUUCGUAGAUAUUAGGAAGAACACCAGUGGCGAAGGCGGCUCACUGGCCCGGUACUGACGCUCAUGAGCGAAAGCGUGGGGAGCAAACAGG
rnacentral:rRNA from 1 species